rnacentral:rRNA from 1 species
UACAGAGGGGGCAAGCGUUGUUCGGAAUUACUGGGCGUAAAGGGCGCGUAGGCGGCCUUCUAAGUCGAACGUGAAAUCCCCGGGCUCAACCCGGGAACUGCGUCCGAUACUGGAAGGCUUGAAUCCGGGAGAGGGAUGCGGAAUUCCAGGUGUAGCGGUGAAAUGCGUAGAUAUCUGGAGGAACACCGGUGGCGAAGGCGGCUCACUGGACCGGAACUGACGCUGAGGCGCGAAAGCGUGGGGAGCAAACGGG